rnacentral:rRNA from 1 species
CCCGCACAAGCGGCGGAGCAUGCGGAUUAAUUCGAUGCAACGCGAAGAACCUUACCAGGUCUUGACAUCCCGAUGCUAUUUCUAGAGAUAGAAAGUUACUUCGGUACAUCGGUGACAGGUGGUGCAUGGUUGUCGUCAGCUCGUGUCGUGAGAUGUUGGGUUAAGUCCCGCAACGAGCGCAACCCCUAUUGUUAGUUGCCAUCAUUCAGUUGGGCACUCUAGCGAGACUGCCGGUAAUAAACCGGAGGAAGGUGGGGAUGACGUCAAAUCAUCAUGCCCCUUAUGACCUGGGCUACACACGUGCUACAAUGGUUGGUACAACGAGUUGCGAGUCGGUGACGGCGAGCUAAUCUCUUAAAGCCAAUCUCAGUUCGGAUUGUAGGCUGCAACUCGCCUACAUGAAGUCGGAAUCGCUAGUAAUCGCGGAUCAGCACGCCGCGGUGAAUACGUUCCCGGGCCUU